rnacentral:rRNA from 1 species
UACGUAGGGUGCGAGCGUUGUCCGGAAUCAUUGGGCGUAAAGCGCGUGUAGGCGGUCCAGUAAGUCCGCUGUGAAAGUCGGGGGCUCAACCCUCGGAUGCCGGUGGAUACUGUCGGGCUUGAGUACGGAAGAGGCGAGUGGAAUUCCUGGUGUAGCGGUGAAAUGCGCAGAUAUCAGGAGGAACACCAAUUGCGAAGGCAGCUCGCUGGGACGUUACUGACGCUGAGACGCGAAAGCGUGGGGAGCAAACAGG